UCGAUGUUGCAUAGAUUUAUU
rnacentral:piRNA from 1 species